rnacentral:rRNA from 1 species
UAACCUGCCCAAGAGAUCGGGAUAACACCUGGAAACAGAUGCUAAUACCGGAUAACAACAGAUGAUGCCUAUCAACUGUUUAAAAGAUGGUUCUGCUAUCACUCUUGGAUGGACCUGCGGUGCAUUAGCUAGUUGGUAGGGUAACGGCCUACCGAGGCGAUGAUGCAUAGCCGAGUUGAGAGACUGAUCGGCCACAUUGGGACUGAGACACGGCCCAAACUCCUACGGGAGGCAGCAGCC